AUACUGAGGGUGCAAGCGUUAAUCGGAAUUACUGGGCGUAAAGCGCGCGUAGGUGGCUCAGUCAGUCGGAUGUGAAAGCCCUGGGCUUAACCUAGGAACAGCAUUCGAUACUGCUGAGCUAGAGUAUGGUAGAGGAAAGUGGAAUUCCGCAUGUAGCGGUGAAAUGCGUAGAUAUGCGGAGGAACACCAGUGGCGAAGGCGGCUUUCUGGACCAAUACUGACACUAAGGUGCGAAAGCGUGGGUAGCAAACAGGAUUAGAAACCCCAGUAGUCC
rnacentral:rRNA from 1 species